rnacentral:lncRNA from 1 species
AUAGAUGCUCUUAAACCCCAGGAAUCUUCCGCAGAUUUUCAUAUUUCCUUUGUGCACGAGAAAAAGUAGCGUUUGGCCAAGGUACCCUUUGCACCGCUUACUCGGGAGCUAUGUUAUGUAGCCUGGCACCACUAGCAGAGCACUAAUGUGAGCCGAGCUGAAGCUGUCUCCCCAGAUGUCGUCCAAGAAACAGAGGAGAAAUCGCAUAGGCAUACCGGUGCAGAGAGUGAGAGAGUAUUCAUCACGUGCCCUGGUAAGCAGAGCACGCGGCAACGCAGCCUGCCCGCCCGACAACCGGAGACAGAGGCUACUCCCGAAGUGGAAAGGUCAAAGCGGUUGCUCUGUUCGACUGCUGCACCUGCAUGGGAGGACCAGACAGGCAGAGUAAACAAAGCAGAGCAUGCCAGCACGAGGCCACCGGUCCGCGCACUGUCUUCUGAUCUAACGGUCGUCUCCUUCCUCGC